GGCGGUUCUCAGGUGAUGCACCCUGGAAUCAGGCUCCCUCCUCUGGUUCCGUGUGUAUCACCUGAGAACCCCA
rfam:Myotis davidii contig192250, whole genome shotgun sequence.